CGGUUGGUCUCGAUGAUAUUUCUGUUCUUAGCAUAAUUCUAUAUACCGAUUAAAAAAAGGGGAAAACUAUUGCAUUUGGCUCAAGCCGAACAGACAAACCAGACAUAAUUGUCAGCUAAAACAGCAUAUUGAAAAGCUGAACUGUCAAAGUUGAUUGCAUGGCUGCUACCCUGAUACAUUCGCGGCUGCUCUUGUCGUGAGCUGAUCAUCUUAAGUUCAUGUGUUAUCGUAUGUAUCUUGGAUUAUGGUAUAUGUAGCCAUCUUAGGAUGCCAAGAUCAUUCUAUUGUUAGAUUGGACAUCUGCCAUGGAGUUGAUUUCUACAAUAAUAUUACUUUCUUGAA